CAGUCGCCGCGGUAAUACGGAGGGUGCAAGCGUUAAUCGGAAUUACUGGGCGUAAAGCGCACGCAGGCGGUCUGACAAGUCAGAUGUGAAAUCCCCGGGCUUAACCUGGGAACUGCAUUUGAAACUGUCAGGCUGGAGUCUUGUAGAGGGGGGUAGAAUUCCAGGUGUAGCGGUGAAAUGCGUAGAGAUCUGGAGGAAUACCGGUGGCGAAGGCGGCCCCCUGGAGAAAGACUGACGCUCAGGUGCGAAAGCGUGGGGAGCAAACAGGAUUAGAUACCCCUGUAGUCCCUGUCUCUUAUAC
rnacentral:rRNA from 1 species